rnacentral:lncRNA from 1 species
GUUCAGACAAAGAUAAUACUUCUCCAUGGAAAGAUCUUCAGGGUUUUCCCAUAGAAGAAUUAUUAAUUUAAUUAUUCCUGGAACUCUGGAUAAGAAUACGGAACAGUUGUUGAGUCAGAGUCUUCUAUCAAAAGGAAACAGCAUCAGCUAGACCAGAACUAUCCAGACUACCCAGUAACCAUCUAGGCCACAAAGAAAGAAGAUGACAAAGCCAAAGUCGGAACUCUGUCUGCAGCUCAUGCAUGGUCUUCCAUUGGCUCCAUGGUCUAGACGUAAAUUUUCCCAGCUCUGAAAUGUGAUCUCCAUGCAAGAGACAAGUGGAAAAUUGGCCAUUCAGCAAAACAACAGUGGAAGGAAGGCAGGCUGCUGGGAGCUCCAGGAUUAAAGACUGCCAGUCAUCGCUCCAUCAGGAUGUUCAUCCCCAGGGAUUUGUGGUUCUCAAGGACUCAGGAUUGCCUGGAGGAGGCAAUCUGGGAAAAGGACAAUUGCCUAGAAUUCUGCAGCCACUCCACCCCAAUAUACUGAAUGAGAAUAAAAAAUUGUGCCUUUUGACUCUCACAGUAUGCAUAAACUGCUCUUGUCGUAUGGCUCUCUCCAGCAACUGUGAUGAUGUAAUAUUUCUUGGCUCAUACACUUUUCGCUCUUGCACCUUGAACUCUUUGCCUGUCCAAUUAAUUAGUAACUAUUUGCAGAGCCACACAUUCCUCCUUUCUUCUUUGUGAUCUUCCUCAGUUCACCAACAAGUGAAAAAUUCUAACUAUAAAACCAAACAAUUUUGGUUGCCAAGAGGGAAGACGUCAGUCCAGAAAAAUUGAAGAGGAAGGGUCAGAAUUUGCUAAUACCAUUUCAAGCUCGCAGCUCAUAAGUAUUCCAAGGUGCAAGGGAACUUUGCAAAUAGUCUGAAAACAAACCAAAUCAAAGAACUGGCUCUACAGUGGAUGGUAUUUCAAAAUGGCAUGACUGAAAAGCAAGGUUAGAAAUAAUACAUACAGUAUCCUGCACUGUGUUUAAAAAGUUACACGCACAUAGAUAUGUAAACACCUGUAGUAAAAGCAUGGACUAUCUCUGGAAGAGAACACGUGAAACUAAUAACGGUUCCUGCCUCCACGGAGAGGAAGAAGAUGCUGGUAGAUGGGGGAAAGAUGAAGAUUUACUUUGCACUCUACACAUCCUUGGUCCAUUUUAAAGUUUGUUCCAUGCACAUGACCUGUUAAAAAUAAAAACCUAUUUUUAAAUGUAU